rnacentral:rRNA from 1 species
CACGUAGGCACCAAGCGUUGUCCGGAUUUAUUGGGCGUAAAGAGCUCGUAGGCGGUUCGAUAAGUCGGGUGUGAAAACUUUGGGCUCAACCCAAAGCGUGCAUUCGAUACUGUUGUGACUAGAGGUAGGUAGGGGAGAAUGGAAUUCCCGGUGUAGCGGUGAAAUGCGCAGAUAUCGGGAGGAACACCGGUGGCGAAGGCGGUUCUCUGGGCCUUACCUGACGCUGAGGAGCGAAAGCGUGGGGAGCGAACAGG